CCUACGGGAGGCAGCAGUGAGGAAUAUUGGUCAAUGGCCGUAAGGCUGAACCAGCCAAGUAGCGUGAAGGAUGAAGGCUCUAUGGGUUGUAAACUUCUUUUAUAUGGGAAUAAAGUUAUCCACGUGUGGAUUUUUGUAUGUACCCUAUGAAUAAGCAUCGGCUAACUCCGUGCCAGCAGCCGCGGUAAUACGGAGGAUGCGAGCGUUAUCCGGAUUUAUUGGGUUUAAAGGGUGCGUAGGCUGGGAGGUAAGUCAGCGGUGAAAUGCCCCGGCUCAACGGGGUGCAGUGCCGUUGAUACUGGGUUGCUGGAGUGGGCAUGCAGUAUGCGGAAUGCGUGGUGUAGCGGUGAAAUGCAUAGAUAUCACGCAGAACCCCGAUUGCGAAGGCAUCAUACG
rnacentral:rRNA from 1 species